rnacentral:rRNA from 1 species
CCUUGUACACACCGCCCGUCAAGUCAUGGGAGUUGGGAGUACCCGAAGUCCGCUUAGCUAACUGCAAAGAAGCGGCGGCCGACGGUAAGCCCGAUGACUGGGACU